UACGGAGGGUGCGAGCGUUGUCCGGAAUCACUGGGCGUAAAGGGCGCGUAGGCGGCGCGGGGAGUCAACGGUGAAAGCUCGGCGCUCAACGCCGAGUCGGCCGUCGAUACUCCCGUGCUCGAGCACUGUAGAGGCAGGUGGAAUUCCGGGUGUAGCGGUGGAAUGCGUAGAGAUCCGGAAGAACACCAGUGGCGAAGGCGACUUACUGGACACAUAUUGACGCUGAGGUGCGAAAGCGUGGGGAGCAAACAGG
rnacentral:rRNA from 1 species